UGAGUUAGGAAUAACGGCUGGAAACGGUCGCUAAUACCAAAUACGCUCCGAUUUCAACUUCGGGGGAAAGGGUAGGCCUCUGCUUGCAAGCUACUGCUCAUGGAUGAGUCCGCGUCCCAUUAGCUAGUUGGUGGGGUAACGGCCCACCAAGGCGACGAUGGGUAGCCGGUCUGAGAGGAUGACCGGCCACACUGGGACUGGAACACGGCCCAGACUCCUACGGGAGGCAGCAGUGGGGAAUAUUGCGCAAUGGGCGAAAGCCUGACGCGGCGACGCCGCGUGAGGGAUGAAGGUCCUCGGAUCGUAAACCUCUGUCAGGAGGGAAGAACCGCCACGGUGCUAAUCGGCCGUGGUCUGACGGUACCCCCAAAGGAAGCACCGGCUAACUCCGUGCCAGCCGCCGC
rnacentral:rRNA from 1 species